GGUUGGGUGGCAGAGCCGGUUGAAUGCGGCAGAUUGCUAAUCUGUUGACCGGGGUAGCUCGGUCCGGAGGUUCGAAUCCUCUCCCAAUCG
rnacentral:tRNA from 1 species